rnacentral:lncRNA from 1 species
GCCCGGGUCGAGGGCCAGUCGGUGCUGACGGACCAGGAGAUCGAGGAGUUCUUGAAGGGCUUCUUGGGAGAAACGGAGGAGGAAGAGGCCGAGAAGGAAGAGACGGAGACGGCGCCGGUUUUGGGCGAAGAGCUCCCGGGCAGCCAGGGAAGGCUGGGCUCGGCGGAGAGGACCGCAGCCCCCGCGGAAGUCGAGGAAGGUGCUCAAGAUAAGGUGAAGGAGAAGCCCAGGAAGGGGAAGAAGGAAAAGCCACCUAAGCCAACCAAGAAGCUUAAAGAAAGACUUCCCAAAGCCCCUAAGAAGGAGAAAAGCCCAAAGCCCACCAAAAAGCCAAAGGAGAAACGCCCAAAGGCGACAAAGAAGCCCAAGGAGAAGCCUCCCAAAGCCACCAAAAAAACAUCUGGGGGAAAGAGAACAGAGAGGCUCCCUCCUCCCAUCCAACCCUACGAGGAAGAAAAACCAGAAAGACCCUUAUUCCCAACCACAGCUGGAGAGGAAGAGGGCUACGGUGCGCCCGAUUCAUCCAGAUUUCACUUGCCCUAUGGAAGGGAAGAUGAGUACUCUCGAGUUAAUGAAGAAGGCGGGGAGUCUCUCUUCCCAGAGGAGCCGACAGAUCCACGCUGGGAUGACAAGCAGGAUCCCACAAGGCAUCACACUGACUUCUAUGAGCCCCCAACAGAACCACAGGAACCUGGAAGAGAGGAUGAAGGCCAUGAGCACCAACCAGAGUCCCCCGGAGAGGUGGAGCCGCCUACGCUGGACUACAAUGAGCAGAUUGAACGCGAGGACUAUGAGGAUUGUACGACUGACUUGGUGUACCUAGAUAUAGUCACAGUUCCUUUCUUUCAGGAGAGGCCCCUAUCCUGUUGUUGUUGUUGUGGGUGAUGAGACCACGAGGGGUCUUGCUCUGGGAUGUUGGAUUCCUUGUUGCCCUAGUUGCGUGGGUCUGAAGUUGUCUGAUGCUUCAGAGUAUGGUCUGCCCCAUUGUCUGCCCUGCUGGGGCCGUUCCCUCUGAAAAGCACAGAAACAAGUGCUCUAGGAUUUUGUGCAAGAGUACGACUUUGUACGGAAAACAGAGUCCACAUUCUAAGAAUCUGUUUCCAUGGCAAAAGACAACACCUCAUUUAGAAGUAAGACUGAUUCUAUUUCCCAUGCCAGAAGACACAGAUGGAGUUCCAGAUUCUAAGAAUCUGUUUUCAUGGCCAAAGACAACACCUCAUUUAGAAGUAAGACAUAUUUCCCAUGCCAGAAGACACAGAUGGAGGGGAUUGAAACAUUCCCAGGGGACCAAAUGCUGGAUCACACGGGCAUAUUAUAGCUUGCAAUUGGACGGUUUGUGGCACUGACUGUUGCGCAAGCUGUUCUCCAUUGAUGGCAGGUCAUAUGGGCAAUAGCAUUCCAAGCUGCUAGAUCUUUUUGGUGCAGGAGUGGGGCUGCUACAUUUGGGGGCCGGGCUGGAGUGAUUUCCUAAGGGAUGAAAAGUUCGCUUUAAGGGAGAUCCCUCCCAGAAAAGCAACUCUCUCCAGUGCCGCCAGACACACACUUUUCUCCUUGCCUGAUGGCACCCUUAGCAUCCUGUAAAGGACAUUUGGUGAACAUGUGGCCCUCCACAUGUUGCGACCCAUGAUGGUCGAGAUCCCUUACCUUGGGCCAUGCUGGCUGGUAUUUCUGGGAGAUGAGGGCAGACCAAAAAUUCACCAUCCCUGGUGUGCAAAUCCUUCAGAGGCGAAUGGUAGGCAGAAUCAAUUAUAUCCUCUCUGUGAGAACCGGGUUGAGCCAGCGUCCCUCUCUGAUUUGUUCACUGUGAGUGGAGGUUGGCUGUUUUGUGCCGUAUCAUCACAUCUGGGGUGAGAAGCCAUCAAAACAUGGGGUUUGGAACUUUGGU